rnacentral:rRNA from 1 species
CCUUAAACGGUGAAACCGCGAAUGGCUCAUUAAAUCAGCUAUGGUUCCUUAGAUCGUACAUGCUACAUGGAUAACUGUAGUAAUUCUAGAGCUAAUACAUGCCACUAUGCCCUGACCCGCAAGGGAACGGGUGGAUUUAUUAGAACAGAACCAACCGGGUUCGGCUUCGGUCGUUCCUGUUGCACUCUGUGAUGACUCUGGAUAACUUUACUGAUCGCAGUCGGCCUUGUGUCGGCGACGGAUCUUUCAAAUGUCUGCCCUAUCAACUUUCGAUGGUAGGUGAUCUGCCUACCAUGGUGAUAACGGGUAACGGGGAAUCAGGGUUCGAUUCCGGAGAGGGAGCCUGA